CCGCCUUCUGCGUUGAUGAUAGCCGUGUCCGCGUCCGGGGCGUCGUCGGAGCCUUUUGCCUCGUGUGUCAGCAGAGACCCUGGAGGCAGAGCAGCAGGAGCAGCUGCCUGAGUGGGAAGCCGGAUUGCGCUGGGACGAUCCACAAGUGAAGAGGCUGCGCUGCGGGGUCGGUGGUGCUGUUAUCACACGCGGCCUUCUUCCCCCCUGUCCCCAACCGGUCUCCCACCCACAUCCUCCUCAGGCCUCUCACCUUUGUGCCGGAUCAAGUAGUGGCCCAGGAAGAUGAGCAGGAUGAGCAGCAGGAAGACGAUGAAAGCCACGAUCCCGCCAAUGAUGGCAUGUAUGGUGUUUCCAAGGUCUUCAGAGAAAGACAGCAGCAGCAUGCAUUCCACACAUGGUUCUAGGAAGAGAACUAAGAGAACAACCCAUCGGCAAGGAUAACUCAGUGAAGCAUGCAGGAGUCACAGAGAGAUUAAACGCUUCGGCCAACGUGACAGAGCUUGUAAGUGGCAGCACUGCGGCUGGAGUCCGGGCGCUGCCGCAGACUGACAGUCAGCCGAGCAGACAGUGAGGCUGCCCCACGUCUACCUUGUGUGAGAGCUUGAGUAAUGGGCCUAGCUGUCGGUUAAACGACACUGAAGUUAGGAAGAGUAAUCAGCUUGGGUCUUCCAUAAAAUGGAAACUAAGGGUCUUAGCUGUUUUUGAAAACUAUCUGAGAUUUUGAAAGCUAGGACAGUAAAUGCCUCACGUUAUAA